rnacentral:rRNA from 1 species
AAUAUUGGACAAUGGGCGCAAGCCUGAUCUAGCAACUCCGCGUGAGGGAUGAAGGCCUUCGGGUCGUAAACCUCUGUCAGAAGGGAAGAACUCCCUCGAUUCGAAUAGGUUCGAGGGCUGACGGUACCUUCAAAGGAAGCACCGGCUAACUCCGUGCCAGCAGCCGCGGUAAUACGUAGGGUGCGAGCGUUAUCCGGAAUCAUUGGGCGUAAAGAGCUCGUAGGCGGUUCAGCAAGUCGGCUGUGAAAGUCUGAGGCUCAACCUCAGAAUUGCAGUCGAUACUGCUGUGACUCGAGUCCGGUAGAGGAGAACGGAAUUCCCGGUGUAGCGGUGAAAUGCGCAGAUAUCGGGAGGAACACCAGUAGCGAAGGCGGUUCUCUGGGCCGGCACUGACGCUGAGGAGCGAAAGCGUGGGGAGCAAAC